rnacentral:hammerhead_ribozyme from 1 species
AUCCAACUAUGAGUCUCAAAUAGGACGAAACGCGCGUCCUGUAU